rnacentral:rRNA from 1 species
GACAGAGGUCCCAAGCGUUAGGCGGAAUCACUGGGCUUAAAGCGUGUGUAGGCGGAUUUGUAAGUACCUUGUGAAAUCCCAUGGCUCAACCAUGGAACUGCUCGGUAUACUGCUUAUCUUGGGCCAUCUAGGGGCGAGCGGAACAAACGGUGGAGCGGUGAAAUGCGUAGAUAUCGUUUGGAACGCCAAUGGUGAAAACAGCUCGCUGGGGAUGUGCCGACGCUGAGAUACGAAAGCCAGGGGAGCGAACGGG